ACGAACGCUGGCGGCAGGCCUAACACAUGCAAGUCGAGCGCCCCGCAAGGGGAGCGGCGGACGGGUGAGUAACACGUGGGAAUUUUCCUCAAGGUACGGAACAACUCAGGGAAACUUGGGCUAAUACCGUAUGAUGCAGAGAUGCCAAAGAUUUAUCGCCUUGGGAUAAGCCCGCGUCAGAUUAGGUAGUUGGUGGGGUAAUGGCCUACCAAGCCUGUGAUCUGUAGCUGGUCUGAGAGGACGAUCAGCCACAUUGGGACUGAGACACGGCCCAAACUCCUACGGGAGGCAGCAGUGGGGAAUCUUGCGCAAUGGGCGAAAGCCUGACGCAGCCAUGCCGCGUGAAUGAUGAAGGUCUUAGGAUUGUAAAGUUCUUUAGCCUGUGACGAUGAUGACGGUAACAGGAGAAUAAGCCCCGGCUAACUUCGUG
rnacentral:rRNA from 1 species